AAUAGAUACCCCGGUAGUCCACGCCGUAAACGAUGAGUGCUAAGUGUUAGGGGGUUUCCGCCCCUUAGUGCUGCAGCUAACGCAUUAAGCACUCCGCCUGGGGAGUACGGUCGCAAGACUGAAACUCAAAGGAAUUGACGGGGGCCCGCACAAGCGGUGGAGCAUGUGGUUUAAUUCGAAGCAACGCGAAGAACCUUACCAGGUCUUGACAUCCCAUUGACCGCUAUGGAGACAUAGCUUUCCCUUCGGGGACAGUGGUGACAGGUGGUGCAUGGUUGUCGUCAGCUCGUGUCGUGAGAUGUUGGGUUAAGUCCCGCAACGAGCGCAACCCUUGUUCUUAGUUGCCAUCAUUUAGUUGGGCACUCUAAGGAGACUGCCGGUGACAAACCGGAGGAAGGUGGGGAGUGACGUCAAAUACAUCAUGCCCCUUACUGACCUCGGCGUACACACGUGCUACAAUGGACGGUACGAAACGGUUAGCCAACCCGCGAGGGGAGGCUAAUCCGAUAAACCGUUACUCAGUUCGGUAGUUGUAGGCGUGCAACUCGCCUACAGU
rnacentral:rRNA from 1 species